GCCCCUGUAGUUCAACUGGAUAGAACGUCUCCCUGCGGAGGAGAAGGUUCCCUGUUCAAAUCAGGGCAGGGGCA
rnacentral:tRNA from 1 species